rnacentral:rRNA from 1 species
GUCCACGCUGUAAACGAUGGGCACUAGGUGUCGCGGGUAUUGACCCCUGCGGUGCCGCAGCUAACGCAUUAAGUGCCCCGCCUGGGGAAUACGGCCGCAAGGUUAAAACUCAAAGGAAUUGACGGGGGCCCGCACAAGCGGUGGAGCAUGUGGUUCAAUUCGACGCAACGCGAAGAACCUUACCUGGGCUAGACAACGGGAGACCGCUCCAGAGAUGGAGCUUUCCCUUCGGGGACUGCCGGUUCAGGUGCUGCAUGGCUGUCGU